rnacentral:lncRNA from 1 species
AGCCAGUUUUAUGUACUUGUACUUCCUCAAGAAUUUGCUUUCCCAAAAGCAUGAACCAUUAACUAAUUCCCCUUUAAGUGUUACAGAAAAACACUUUGGCAUUUGCCGAGUUAAAUAUUGUUUUCCGUAUACUAAUGAAUUGCUUACUACACAUAAAAGAUACCAGUGAGCUUUUUAACCGUGCUCCACUACUGAGCAGAAACUAAAUACCCCAGUGAAAGUGUUGAGAAUAAAGUCACAAUCAAAUUGCUAAUUUUGAUCCCUCAACUCACCAUACCUUUCCUAUUAAAAACUGUCCAAAUGCCAGUUUGGUUACACCUGCCGCCCCUAUCAAUAAUUCUGUAUUUUAGCUAUUUUAUUCUGUAUGUUUACCAAUAGAAUCGAGAGUACUUUAACCCUUUUCAUAAUAUAUCACCCAAUAUCUUCAAAUUAGAAGGACCCUUUAUGUAAUAUGCUUACAGAAAAACAUAUUUUGUCAUAAAUCCCUGGUUAAAAAAGAAACAUGAAUACAUCUUUUAGAGUUAGAUAGUAUCAGCCUUACACGUAUGAACCCCCAUGGGGUUAUUCAAUUGAAGUUUGUAUUGCCUGAUCUAGAUAGUGACUCCAGUUUUAAUCCCCAAAAAAAGGUUAAUUGAAAGCUUGCUUGUACAAUUGUAAGCGCUCCUAUUGUUGCCUAUAGUGUUUAAAUUCACUGUGGUGAACAUGAUAUACAGUGGAAACUCUAUGAGCAACGAGUUUGCAAGUAGUUUAUAGGUACUGUCCAACUUAAAGGGAUACUCCAAGCCUCAUAACCACUACAACUCACUGCAUGGGUUACGAUGCCAAGAGUACCAUGAAGCCAUACCCUGGUAAGGUGGCAAACUGUUUAACAAUAAUUUUCCACUUACCUGGGUCACACCAGGCACUGAGCAGCAAUGAAUGCAGUUGAAUGACAUUUGGUUUUGGCAGUGCUGUAAAACUGAAUGUCAGUACAGUCUUUCAUUCAUUGGCUGAGAGUGUGAGAUGGGCCCUCUCAGCCAAUGAAUGAGCACCUUUGCAUAGAAUAUAGACAGAAUUAACAUUAGCAAGUCAAGAACACUUCUUCCAACUAGCUAAUAAGAGUUGCUUGAGGUGGAGUUAUACCUCAAGUAGCUAGCUAUAAUAGCUCACGCAUGGCAUCCUUGCACUAUGGAUAAAAGGAAAAAACAUUCAGAUUUUUUUUAAAAUUAUUAUUAUUAUUAAAGGAACACAAAGCUGUAUUCCUAACACUAUAGGGUCCCUAUGUUCCUCCCGGCAAUUAAAGGGUUAAAACCCCUUUAAAACACUUGAAAUCCCUCGGUGUUGGCUCCACCUACGCCUCCAACAUCAUCACAAGUGGUAUCAAUACUUUCCCAAGUGUGAUAUGAAGACGAUGGAUGUCCUCAUGUACAGUAUGAGGACGUCCCGUUAAACUCUGUGAAACAGCAGGAAACUCCUCUAGUAAGUGUCUGUUGGACAGCCUCUAGAGCCAGUCUUAACUUUGCAAUAUAAACAUUGCAGUUUCUCUGAAACUGCCAUGUUUUAGAUUGCAGGGUUAAGUGGACAGGGCACCCAGACCACUUUAGAGAGAUUAAGUGGUCUGUGUGCCUAUAAUGGCUCUUUAAAAUGAAAAUGUAUUAUAUCAUUUCCGUGUAUUCUCUCCUGACUUACCCUUCUUUCAAUGGGGCUGCCAUCUUUAAGGCCUCAAUAGUCAGGAAUUAAUUUUAUCCGAUGAAAGGAGAGCCUGUGCACAUAAUUGAGAGCUAGUAUGUUCAUGAAUCCUGACACCAUUCACAAGGGUACCCUGGGGGACAAAUAGAAUAAUGCCCUAUUGACAUUUUCUUUUAAACAGAAAGGGUUGGAGAAACCCUUCAGUAGAAAAGGAGGGCUAAGCAUAGAUGUUACCAUGGUAAGCCAAGAGUUGCACUAAAUAUAGGUCUCCAAAUCUGUCAGGAUUGCACCUAUUCCACAGUCCCAGCUUUGUUCCCUGGUGCCAUGCUUCUAAUGAUGUAUGAUACACUUGUGUACACGAAGGGAACAAGAUCCAGCCGAACAGCAUGAUGGCAGUCAGCCAGAUUGACAUGCCCCUUUUUCUGACGGAUCUGUCCCUUUUGCAAGCAGAUCUGGCUGUCCUCAUAUUGAAGCACUGGAUUCACACAUCAUAUUUUAGCAAACACUUAACUGCCUUGAUCUGAGGGCUCACUUUGCACACAUAAAGCUUGUAUCUGUUACAAAUAAAUGAUCAUUGAAAAUGUUACACCAGCAGCACCGUGCAGCAGUCCAAAUACAUAACACUAAUGAAUGUUUUUACAGACAUAUUUUUCUCCUCAUGCGCACUUAUCACUUAUGAUCCAUGUUACUUUCAAUAGGAGUAUACUGAAGUAUUCUAAAAGGUUUAAUCUAAUAUUUGUGUUUAGUGUUAUAUGGCAGUACAUUCAACUUUAUAGUGCUACAAGUAUAACUAUAAUAAAAAUUUAAAUAUAAGAAUGUUAUAUUUUCUUAAGCAACUAUAUUAUUAGAAAAACGUUAUACCUGAAGCUAAUUUUGCACUUACUCGUAAUCAUAUUGCUAAUGCAAUAGAUAUCUAUACAAUUCUGUAGAAAUACAUUGCUCUGGAAAAUGUUCUAUGGCUAUAAUGUUUUUGCGAUUUAUUCCUGAUAAUACAAACUCCAUUGUGGUGUACCCUUUUUAUGUGAAAGGGUUGUAUCUAGUAAUGAAAGCAUCAAGAGUGGCAUUUACAGUAACUUAUAAUGGAAUUACAGCUAUUAAAAAAUAAAUAGUAAAUUGGGCUAUAGAUCUAUACAGUGAAUAAAAUGAAUACAGUCUCAUUGUAUAGUGUGCAUUGAAAACAUUACAGUUUGUGCAUUUCCAUUUUGUGUUGGUGUACUGUAGAGCCAAAACCAUGCUGGCCAUUGAGUCAUUCAUUUGGAAGGAGGAUCACUGUGGUGGUAUAGCUGAACAGUCUGAAUAAGAGAUGAUGAUAUUACCUCUCUUUACUUGAAUAUUUCAAAUAGCAUGCUUGGAGGGUUGUAGAAAGACUUUUUUUAAGAACUUCUACUGUUUCUCAUGCAAAAUGUAUUAAAGGCUGUCUUGUGAUAUAAAGGUUAAGUACAGUAUAAUCGAGAAUAUAAUUAAAUCAGUGGGAAAUGUCUCACUUUUUGACCUUAUCAUAACCUUAAUAAAUCUAAGAAUUGUAGGGUUAUUGAGAGUAUACCCCACCAACUUAAAGUUAGCAAAGUAUGCUAAAUAUGUUGACAAAUUAGUAUUUGCGUUGCCUAAUUAUUCCCCAGCACAGACAAAAAACACUUAUAAUUAUAUAUUAAUCGGGAAAGUGUUAUAAAAAUAACAAUAUU